rnacentral:rRNA from 1 species
GACGAAUGCUGGCGGCGUGCCUAAUACAUGCAAGUUGAGCGAUGAAGAUUGGUGCUUGCACCAAUUUGAAGAGCAGCGAACGGGUGAGUAACGCGUGGGGAAACUGCCUUUGAGCGGGGGACAACAUUUCGAAACGAAUGCUAAUACCGCAUAACGACUUUAAACAUAAGUUCUAAGUUUGAAAGAUGCAAUGGCAUCACUCAAAGAUGAUCUCGCGUUGUAUUAGCUAGUUGGUGAGGUAAAGGCUAACCAAGGCGAUGAUACAUAGCCGACCUGAGAGGGUGAUCGGCCACAUUGGGACUGAGACACGGCCCAAACUCCUACGGGAGGCAGCAGUAGGGAAUCUUCGGCAACGGACGAAAGUCUGACCGAGCAACGCCGCGUGAGUGAAGAAGGUUUUCGGAUCGUAAAACUCUGUUGGUAGAGAAGAACGUUGGUGAGAGUGGAAAGCUCAUCAAGUGACGGUAACUACCCAGAAAGGGACGGCUAACUACGUGCCAGCCGCCGCCGUAA